rnacentral:rRNA from 1 species
UACGUAGGGGGCAAGCGUUGUCCGGAAUAAUUGGGCGUAAAGGGCGAGCAGGCGGUAAAUUAAGUCAGAUGUGAAAGACUGGGGCUCAACCCCAGGGCUGCAUAUGAAACUGAUUUACUUGAGAGCAGGAGAGGGGAGUGGAAUUCCCGGUGUAGCGGUGGAAUGCGUAGAUAUCGGGAGGAACACCAGUGGCGAAGGCGGCUCCCUGGCCUGGGACUGACGCUGAGGCGCGAAAGCGUGGGGAGCAAACAGG